UGCUGAUGGAAACGAUGAUAGUUAACUGCCGAAGUUUUCCUCGGUAGUUAACUGCCGCUGGUUCUU
rnacentral:pre_miRNA from 1 species